rnacentral:lncRNA from 1 species
CUUAAUUUACUCUAUUUUUAAGGGUUUGUUUGUGUGUGUUUUAAGAUAAUCUUCUGGAAAUUGGUGCGUUUAUGGUGUAUUCUAUGCUUUGCAGGAGAUUUAGGCUUUCGAGAUGGAAGAAUGCAAUUUUGGAGAAUUUUGGAUGAAUUUGGCGUUUUCUAGAUGUUCUGGUCUCCAGAGCAGAGAAAUCACCGUUCCUCUGGAGUCAGAGAAAUCACCGUUCCUCUUGAGUCAGAGAAAUCACCGUUCCUCUGGAGUCAGAGAAGUCAAAGUCCAGAGCAGAGAAGCGCCAGCGUCAGAAAAGCGAAGUGCCAGUACAGCGAAAUCAAGUCUCCAGUGCAGCGGAAUCAAUCGCCAGAGAAAUCACCAUUUCUCUGGAG